UACAGAGGUCUCAAGCGUUGUUCGGAUUCAUUGGGCGUAAAGGGUGCGUAGGCGGUGCGGUAAGUGGGGUGUGAAAGCCCUCGGCUCAACCGAGGAAUUGCGCUCCAAACUACCACACUCGAGGGAGAUAGAGGUGAGCAGAACUGAUGGUGGAGCGGUGAAAUGCGUUGAUAUCAUCAGGAAUACCGGAGGCGAAGGCGGCUCACUGGGUCUCUUCUGACGCUGAGGAACGAAAGCUAGGGGAGCAAACGGG
rnacentral:rRNA from 1 species